CUGGGGAAUAAUCCUUGAUUUAUGUAUACCACCUAGGGAUAGGGGGGGUUGAACAAUCAAUUGUUUGUCACUUCUGUUUAUAAUGCAUUAUCGGUUACUAAGGGAGGCUAGGGAUAACAAGCCGGUAAUCUUUAAUAGGCUCUUUUCGCCAAGGGAUUGGGUUAAGGGUAGGCUAAGAAAGUUGCAUGGUAAUUGAUUAAUCAAGCGGAUUAAAUAAGAAGAGUAGAUAUAAGAGAGGAUAAAGGUGAAAUUGUAAACCCUAACAACUCCAUUCAUCCAUAGUUUCUCUCAUCAAUUGAAUCAACGCAUUGCAUGUUUAUUUUGUGUUUUUGCAUAAACCACUUUUAAGUUUUAUUUCUACAAGUCUUAAGAUUUCCGUUCACACGAAAGAUAAGGCCUUGUGAGUCCUUUGGGAAAACGAUACUCGGACUUACCGUUUUAUUAUUACUUGCAUACGAUCUGGUACACUUGUCAGUGACUCAACAAGUUUUUGGCGCCGUUGCCGGGGACUCUUGGUUUAACUUAUCUAGUAGUGUGAAUUGAUUGAAUUUGACUUGAUUUUUUUUUGUUUAUUUUUAUUUUUGUUCUUAUAAAUGUUCUCUAUGGUUUUGUGCCUAAUGAUUGCAGAAUGCAGUUUGGACAAGAACUUGAUUAUACGGGCACUCAAUUCUACCAAAAUAAUUUCAACCACUGGUGGGAACCUCAUUCAAGCAUAGAUCAAACCCAAUUUGGGCAAACUGUCAAGCAACAAUCCUCUAAGCCAAAAGGAACAUUAGGGGAAACUAAACAACGGUUGCAAGAUGAACAAGUCUCUGAUGCAUUAAUCUCCUUGGGAAUUACUAGGGUUAAUAACAAAGUUAACCCUAAUGAAGAAUGUCAAGCCACUAUCUUUGAAGAUGACAAGGUUAUUGAUGAAGGUAAGAUAGAAGAUGAAGAGAUAACAAAGGUAUUGAAGUCUCUGGGCAUUAUUAGGGAUAACACUGAAGUUAACCUUAAGAAAGAAUGUCAAGCCACUAUCUUUGAAGACGACAAUGUUAUUUAUGAAGAGAAGAUAGAGGAAGAAGAGAUAACAAAUGCAUUGAGGUUCCUAGGCAUUAUCUGGGUUAAUACUGAAAUAAAUCCUAAAGAUGAUAGUCAAGAUAUUAUCUUUGAAAAAUAAAGGAUUGUUACUGAGGAAAAGGUGGAAGAAAAAAGUUAAGUGAGGAAGAGUAAGUUGAACAGAGAGAAAAAGAAGUGGUUGAAAGAAAAGAAAAAAAGAGAAAAAUUAAAAAAAUAAAGAAAGAAAGAAAAAAGAAAAAGAGGGAGAAGGGAAAGAAGAAAAGAUCAUAUGAACAACCUUUUUUUCAUAUAAAGAGAAAUCGUAGGAAGAGAAAGAAACUCAAGUAUUUUAUGAAGAUCUUCAAGAGAUUCGGGAUUAAAGCUCCUAUGAUUGAAACAUGGAAACAGAUGUUUGAUGUUAUUAAUUUUUUUGAAGAAAUUCAGCAGGAAGAAGAAAAUAAAAGUGUGCCAAGCACACAAAGUUUAACACUUACUGAUGGGUGUUUGAACUUCAUUGAGUCAAGCUAGUGACGUUAAAGAAGCGCUUGCUGGGAGGCAACCCAGUCAAUUGUUUGUUUAUUUUUGUUUUGUUUUUCUAUUUAUGUCUUUUGGACAUUGUAGGUUUGCAUGUACAUUUGAGUAAGGAAAAUCUUAAAAAUUAAAAUUUAGGGUUAAGAUCAGGUGGUACAGGGAGAAUUCGCACAAAGGCAAAACAAAAAGAAGAGAAGGGAAAUUUCCGCUCACCGCCGGGCGGUGCAACUUUGCCGCUGGGUAGUGGCGGCGAAAACCAAACCCAAGCCUCUUAAAAGCUGGGUUGUUCUAGGUUUUCUGCACUUCAAUCCUUCCCUUUGAGUUGCGCCAAGGUGGUCUCCACGGGUUCUAGCACCAGAUUUGCACUUUAAAGUGGGUUCUAAAGGGAUUUUUCUACACUUUCUUACCACCCACUCACAAAAACUUUGUUUCUUGCUUAAAAUUUGGGGUUUUUUAGUGAGAGUUGCAAUUUGAGAGUUUUUCAUCAUCAAUCAAAGGAAUUUGUGCAAACAUCUAGCAUCUCCACUCAAGUAAGUUGUGUAAUUACAUUCUCCAGUUUUUAAUUUUGAGAUUUGAUGAGGAACAUGUUUAGGAACAUGUUUAGGAACAUGACAAAUUAGGGUUUUGAAUUUCUUUGCAUGAAUUGUUGAAUUAGAAACUGAUUGGAUCAAUUGAGUUGUUGAAAUUAUGUCUUCUUGGAUAGAUUUAGCAUUUGAGUGGAGUUUAGGGAAGUUUUAAAUAAAAUUUUUGAAUGACCCUAUGAACCGCCGGACGGUAUCCUUCACCUCUGGGCGGUAUUGUUGUGAUGAAUUCCGCCGGGCGGUCACCACUGGACGCCGGGCGGUUUGGCUGUUUUGUUUAUUGGUUGCUCCAAUUUCUUAGGUGAAGAAUCAGAAAAGGGGAACCUUGUUUCACCCUUAGUUGAAUGCGGAUUUUUGAUGAUUAUUAACCUUUAACGAUAUAUUCCUAUGGUUUGUUUUAAAUUGGAUAUUGUGUAGGAAUGGCAUCAUCAUCACGCAGGGAGAGAAAUGUUGGAAAAAGAAGGAUGGUGGAAGAGCUAGAGGAAUUUGACUCUCAUAAAUUUCUUUCCAAGCACCAUCAGGAUCAUUAUGCAACAGUUCAGCAGAGAAAGUUGUUUAUGGAGAGAAAAGCUGCAUUCGUUACUAGGGCAGCCCCUGCUUUUGGAUUGGAGAUUGUGAGAAGAGACUGGGAGAGGCUGACUAGUUACCCUACACCAGCAAGCAUUGAGUUGGUACAGGAAUUCUAUACCAAUGUUAUAUCUAGGGGAAGAGUGUCAACUGGGAAGUACAGGAGCUUUGUUAGAGGGCAUCUCAUCAAGUAUGACCCUGACACCAUUAACAAUUUCUUGGGUACUGAAUGGCCAGGGGAGCAGUGCCAAUAUGCAACACGAGUUGGUAUGUUUAAUGACACAGCUGAAAUUGAAAAGGUUCUGUGUCUACUUGGGAGACAUUUUCAGACUAACCCUAAUGGAGUUCUAGUCAACAUUAGGAGGUUGGAUAUGAUACCUUUGGCACAAUAUUGGAUGGCACUCUCUCAUGCCAACAUCCAGCCUUGCUCCCAUCUUUCUGAUGUCACCAUACAUAAGGUCAUUCUCUUAUAUUGCAUAAUGAGCCAGCUGGAUGUGAAUGUUGGCCAAAUCAUUGCUGAUGAGAUACAGAGUUGUGCUACUACAGUUAGUAGCAGAACACCACUAGGACAUCCGUCCUUGAUUACUUAUCUGUUUCAACAAGCUGGGGUGGAGGCAGUUCCCCCAUAUGAGAGGCCCAAGACUGCUAUUGAUACAUCCUAUUUCAAACAGUACUGUGCUGAAGCAGAGGUGGCAGACGAAGCACCUAGGAGACGCCGGAGGAGAGUAGCAGCACAGCAGGAGUAGGUACCUGCUGAUGCACCAGCACAACAUGCAGAGCCAUUUCAGAUGAGGGACAUGUAUAUGUCCAUGAUGGAGGCUAGGAUGGAGGCUCUUCACAGGGGGUAGUUAGCUACUGCCGAGAUGAUAAUUGGGUUGUAUAAUCAACCUCCAGCACAUAUGUGGACCAUGGAUGAGUUUCAGGCAACAAUGGGUUGGCCUCAUUAGCAGGGACAGAGCAGUGGAGCUGGUGCAGCUAGAGCACCAAUUAUAGAUGAAGAUGUUGGAGAUAGUGAUGAUGAGGACCAGGAGGACUCUGAUGACAACAUGGGUUGAUUGAGGACAUUUACUGAUGGAUGUCCAUGUAUUAGACAGAGUUGUAGUUCUAAACUUUUGCACUUUUGAAUUCCUAGAACAGGUUGAAUUUUAUUUUGUGUCUGUUGGCUUGUAUACUUUUUUGAAAAUGUUUGACUGAAUAACUGCGUGAUGAAACUGUUUGAUGAUGAUCUGAUGUGGUUGAAAAAUUGAGUUGUGAUGCAUGGUAAAAUUUUGUGAAACAGAUGAGUGAGAAAUUAUGAUUGUGAUUGUGAUGCUAAGCAAGAUGUAUGAAUGAGUACUAUGUGAGAAAGCAUGUGUGAGGAAUUGAGCUCCAGAGUUUUUCAUUGUGUAUGUAUUGUUUACAGGGAAGCAUGAAUGAUAUUGCCUAAGUCUUAAUGAUAUAUUGAAUUGCAUGUGAAGGUCAUAUGAUUAAGGCCAUCUUUGAUAACCCUUUUCUGGCCAAAUUUUCACCCUCAGUGCUUAAUUGUUUAUACCCUUCUUGAACCUUAGCCUUAAACAGAAUGUGAACCCUUAUUGUGUAUUCUUUAUCUUGAGUUGAGUUGAGCUUAAAUAUAAUUGAUACAAAGGUUCAAGUUUGGGGUGACAGGGGGGAAAUUUGAAAAAGCAAGUGAAAAGCAUCGAGUUCAAAAGAAUUGAAAGAGAAAUAUGCAUGAGAAAAAGAAAAGUAAAGAAUAAAUGCAUGAAAAAGAGCUCAAUGCAAAAGAAAAGAAAAGGAAGAAGUUGGGAAAUAAGAGAACUUGGUGAGGAGAAGAGUUGUGCUUGAUUAUGAAUAAUGUGAUAGCUCUCUUAACUCAAGAACUUUGAAUUCUAGAAAAACCAUGUUUCUUGUUAGCCCAACCUCAUUACAAGCCUUGGAAAAGUCCUUUUGAUGGCAUUUGCAUACAAAGAUUUUGAUUGUUUUAGAUGAAUGACAAUGUUGUUUUAUGUGACUUGUGAAUGAUAGAGAGUUGGAGUGUCACCAUAAACACUUGAGUGAUUGAGUGAAGCACUUGCCCAGUGAGAAUUGAUGAUUUCAUGAUUGCAUUUUUGAUUCGUGGAUUGGUCAUUCAUAAUGUUUAACAUCUGUUGAAAACUGAACUAAAUUGAAAACAUGUUUGCAUCUUGAUUUGAUUCCACUGAAAAUCUUAAUUGAGAAGUUUGUGUCAUGCAUGUCAGGAAUGUUGAACUAUUGGACGAAGAAGUAGAAAGCCAAGUUUUGUUUUGUGUCUUGUUUUGUUUGGUUUGCUUGAGGACAAGCAGAAUUCAAAGUUUGGGGUUGUGAUAAAGGUUUAAAAACAGCUAUUUUCAUAUGUCAAUUCAUACCAAAUUACACCCUUUAAGACUUAGAAUGAGCUUAGAAUCAUGCAUAAUUCAAUAAAUGAGUCAAGUGAGAGUCAAAAUUCGUUUUUAGCGAUAUUAUGCUUGUUUUGCAUUGUUUUGCAGCGUUUUUGAGGAAAGUGAAGAUUGGAGCUAAAAGUAAAGGUCAGAGACUCAAGAUUUGAGAAGAAAAAUGAAGAAAAGAAGAGUCGAAAGACCGCCGGGCGGUAGACCCUUGCCGCAGGGCGGUCAAGCACGUGGAAUUGGUAGCAAAAUAGGACGCCAGGCGGUUUUGCGAUACGAGGCAAACCGCCGGGCGGUGGACCCUUGACGCCGGGCGGUGGCGCGUCAAUGAGGGAAACCGUCGGGCGGUGUAAGUGUGGCGCCGAGCGGUUUCUAAUUGGGCCUGGGCCUGUUUUCUGCGAUUCUCCUCAGUUAUAAAUAACCUGUUUACGAAGUUUUACUCAUUCUUUUGACGAGGAGGAUGGCCAGACCUAAUUUUCUCUCCCUGGAGAAGAUUUCUUGGAUGCUUCUGCUCCUUUUCAUCUCAUUUAGGGUUUCCUUUUCCAUUCUUCUUUCAUUAUUCAUCUAGGUUCACCAUGUCUAUGGUGAACUAAACCCUCUUGUUGUUAGAGAACAAUGUAAUCUUUUGAAACUCUUUUAUAUUGAAAGUCUUAUUUAUCUAUAUGCUUGCAUAUGCUUUGAUUAUCAAUUAUUGGGUUUUCCUUCUACACUUAAUGCUUUUAUCGUUUAACUCAUUCGAUAAUUGUUGUUUGUAUUUAUUGAUACGGGAACGUACAGUAAUGUCAUGAACUGGGGAAUAAUCCUUGAUUUAUGUAUACCACCUAGGGAUAAGGGGGUUGAACAAUCAAUUGUUUGUCACUUCUGUUUAUAAUGCAUUAUCGGUUACUAGGGGAGGCUAGGGAUAGCAAGCNGGUAAUCUUUAAUAGGCUCUUUUCGCCAAGGGAUUGGGUUAAGGGUAGGCUAAGAAAGUUGCAUGGUAAUUGAUUAAUCAAGCGGAUUAAAUAAGAGGAG
rnacentral:lncRNA from 1 species